GAUGAACGCUGGCGGCGUGCCUAAUACAUGCAAGUCGAGCGAAUGGAUUAAGAGCUUGCUCUAAUGAAGUUAGCGGCGGACGGGUGAGUAACACGUGGGUAACCUGCCCAUAAGACUGGGAUAACUCCGGGAAACCGGGGCUAAUACAGGAUAACAUUUUGAACCGAAUGGUUCGAAAUUGAAAGGAGGCUUCGGCUGUCACUUAUGGAUGGACCCGCGUCGCAUUAGCUAGUUGGUGAGGUAACGGCUCACCAAGGCAACGAUGCGUAGCCGACCUGAGAGGGUGAUCGGCCACACUGGGACUGAGACACGGCCCAGACUCCUACGGGAGGCAGCAGUAGGGAAUCUUCCGCAAUGGACGAAAGUCUGACGGAGCAACGCCGCGUGAGUGACGAAGGCUUUCGGGUCGUAAAACUCUGUUGUUAGGGAAGAACAAGUGCUAGUUGAAUAAGCUGGCACCUUGACGGUACCUAACCAGAAAGCCACGGCUAACUACGUGCCAGCCGCCGCGGUAA
rnacentral:rRNA from 1 species